rnacentral:sRNA from 1 species
AAUUAAGCCGAAUCGAGCCCAGGAGCGGGGGAACCAAGUUUUUGGGGCGAACAUCGCGUUUCAGCGUCAGCUGGAAAUUGAUGAGGGUGGUCUUUCCUUUCUACCCGAGCCCGGCAGCUAACCUCGUAGGCGAAUACAGAGAGGAG